AUACGAAAUAAAACUCAAGUUUACAAGAUAAUUAAUUUAUUUAGUAUUAAUAAUUCAAGAUAAUAUUUUUUAUACAACAAAUUUAAUAAUUGUUUAAUUUUUAUAAAUAUUAAAACAUAUAUAUAUAUAUAGAUAUAUAUAAUAAAAAAUUUAUUCUUUCGUUUCCAUGAGUUUUUAUCUUGUAAAUAUUAUAUAUACUUUACAAUCAACUUUUGUCAUUGACAUUUUUACACGUGGUACACAAUGGAACAGAGGAAAAUUGUUUUGACGCAAUCCGUUACCUAUAUAACAAUAAAAAAACAAACAAACGGCAACUGACUCGGGAGAUGAACAAGUAAAAGCGGAAAAAUCCGGUAAAGAGGAAGAAAAUCCUCGAUACGUCAUUAGCCGCGUUGAAGGAGCUUCCAUGUGAGCGCUUUCCGAACAAUAGAUCUGCGGUCUGUUUCGAUGUUGGUCCAAGUCCAAGAGGGUGGUAGGUUCAAUACAGUGUGAGAUAGGAACAACCAGGGAGGAACGGCAGUAGAGUGAGACGCGAAGAGGAAGGGCGUACGUCAGCCGACGUCAGCGUCGCGGCGCCCUAAUGGGCGCAGACGCCGGAAGUGAUUGGGUUUCUGCUCGACUGACUCGAGCACACCCCCUUCCCGUUGCGGAAUACUCCAGUUCCCUGCCAGAGGGGAUGAGGAGAACAUAAGCAAGCCCCGAAGAAGCGAUGGCACCCUCUCUUGUUUUGCAGCACAUCUUUCUUGCUUAGUCUCACGCCUGGUCGACUCCCACAAGAGAAUCUUAUGAAUAAUAAUUAUUAAACUCUCAUCAUAUCUCGCUCUCCCUGCCGGAUGUGCGUAGCCGCAGUUAAGACGCAGACAGUGUGAGACAUAAGUUGUUCGACAAGUCGCCACUCAAAUCCUAUCAUCAGACGAAAGAGUAUCGCUGCGCGAGUAUGAAACCAAAAGUCCCUCUCUAGCCCCCGGAUACUCCUAAGCGGUUCUGGUUCCUCUUUGGCGGUAGGCAGCGUGUCACGGCCAGCUGACUACCGCUAACCACCCCCGCCCUUCCAUUCUAGCAGCCAGCGUCGCUGCUGAAAUAUCGCCCGAACAAUGGCGCGCAACCCUCUAACCGAAACAAGAAAGAGAAAGAUAGAGAAGAAAAGACGUGCAGAAAGAGACGGUGAGCGACUGCCCAAACUCUCUCUCAAGAGUUCGGUCGUCCUGGCGAAAAUCAAACAGAAAACUUAAGUCCACCACAUGUUACAGAGAUAUCGACAAAAUUUUACGAUCAAUGUAACGUAUCGUUUCUUUUUUACAUUUAUGGAUAAAAUUGUGCGAUAAAAGUUACAUUUAGAAAGUAAUAGGAAAAUAUAAAUCGCUAUAUGAAAACACAGCUACUUUAAGAUAAAAUUUUAUUUCUUCAUAGUUGGAUUUUUGUGCUGAUAUUUCUUAUGUGACUUUACAUACAUUUUCAAGUUCAUAAAACUGCGCACUGAAUACAUUUUCGGUCUUAUUAAGACGAUAGCUGAGUCACUCUAAAUGACAAAACAUUUUUCGUCGCAUCCACUUUAAAGCUUUCAUUUUAAUACAGUUUUGAUUAUGAAUUUGAAGGGAAGCUCUUUCAUUGUGCGUCCUGAAAUGGACCUACAGCUGGAAAAGCUUGAAUACGUUUGAAUAUAGAAAGAAUGAAAAAUAGAUCGAAUUGCUAUUCGAUUCAUUGAAUGUUAACUUUGUAUGAAACAUGAUAUUAUUGAAAUC